CUACGAGCCAGCAGCCGCGGUAAUACGGAAGGUCCAGGCGUUAUCCGGAUUUAUUGGGUUUAAAGGGAGUGUAGGCGGUUUGUUAAGCGUGUUGUGAAAUUUAGGUGCUCAACAUUUAACUUGCAGCGCGAACUGUCAGACUUGAGUACACGCAACGUAUGCGGAAUUCAUGGUGUAGCGGUGAAAUGCUUAGAUAUCAUGAAGAACUCCGAUUGCGAAGGCAGCAUACGGGAGUGUAACUGACGCUUAAGCUCGAAGGUGCGGGUAUCGAACAGGAUUAGAUACCCUGGUAGUCCGCACAGUAAACGAUGGAUGCCCGCUGUUAGCGCCUGGCGUUAGCGGCUAAGCGAAAGCAUUAAGCAUCCCACCUGGGGAGUACGCCGGCAACGGUGAAACUCAAAGGAAUUGACGGGGGCCCGCACAAGCGGAGGAACAUGUGGUUUAAUUCGAUGAUACGCGAGGAACCUUACCCGGGCUUGAAUUGCAGAGGAAUUAUUUAGAGAUA
rnacentral:rRNA from 1 species